GAUGAACGCUGGCGGCGUGCCUAAUACAUGCAAGUCGAACGGUGUGGAGCAAUCCACACAGUGGCGAACGGGUGAGUAACGCGUUGGUGACCUGCCCCGAAGAGGGGGAUAACGAGCCGAAAGGCUCGCUAAUACCCCAUGUGCUCUGGCUGGUUAGAGAGGUCAGAGGAAAAGGUGAAAAUUGCUUCGGGAGGGGCCUGCGUCCCAUCAGCUAGUUGGUAAGGUAACGGCUUACCAAGGCGAUGACGGGUAGGGGACCUGAGAGGGUGACCCCCCACAAUGGAACUGAAACACGGUCCAUACACCUACGGGUGGCAGCAGUAGGGAAUAUUGCUUAAUGUGCGCAAGCGCGAAGCAGCAACGCCGCGUGUGCGAUGAAGGCCUUCGGGUUGUAAAGCACUUUUGGCUGGGAAGAGGAAGGACGGUACCAGCAGAAUAAGCCUCGGCUAACUACGUGCCAGCCGCCGCAGUAA
rnacentral:rRNA from 1 species